rnacentral:rRNA from 1 species
AUUGAACGCUGGCGGCAGGCCUAACACAUGCAAGUCGAACGAGUGGCGGACGGGUGAGUAAUGUCUGGGAAACUGCCCGAUGGAGGGGGAUAACUACUGGAAACGGUAGCUAAUACCGCAUACCAUCGGAUGUGCCCAGGUGUGAUUAGCUAGUAGGUGGGGUAACGGCUCACCUAGGCGAGGAUCCCUAGCUGGUCGGAGAGGAUGACCAGCCACACCGGAACUGAGAAACGGUCCAGACUCCUACGGGAGGCAGCAGUGGGGAAUAGGGCACAAUGGGCUCAGGCCUGAUGCAGCCAUGCCGCGUGGAUGAAGAAGGCCUUCGGGUUGGAAAGGACUUCCAGUGAGGAGGCGUUACUGGCAGAAGAAGCACCGGCUAACUCCGUGCCAGCAGCCGCGGUAAUUC